AUUAAAUGGCUGCAGUAUUUUAACUGUACUAAGGUAGCAUAAUCAUUAGUUUUUUAAUUGAAAGCUAGAAUGAAGGGUUGAAUGAAAAAUUUACUGUCUCUAAUUAAUUUAUUAGAAUUUUAUUUUUAAGUUAAAAAGCUUAAAUACCUUUAAAAGACGAGAAGACCCUAUAGAGUUUUAUAUAUUUGAUUUUUAAAUAUUUAGUAAUAAUUUUUUAAAAUAAUAAUAUAUUUAAUUGGGGUGAUUUAAAAACUAAUUAAACUUUUUAUUUAUAAAAAUAUUGAUUAAUAAAUUAAUGAUCCAAAAAAUUUUGAUUAUAAGAUAAAUUACCUUAGGGAUAACAGCGUAAUUUUAUUAAAGAGUUCUAAUCGAAAAUAAAGUUUGCGACCUCGAUGUUGGAUUAAAAUUUAUAUUUGGUGUAGAAGCUGAAUAAUUAAGUCUGUUCGACUUUUAAAAUUUUAC
rnacentral:rRNA from 1 species